rnacentral:rRNA from 1 species
GUGAACGCUGGCGGUAGGCCUAACACAUGCAAGUCGAACGGCAGCACAGUAAGAGCUUGCUCUUACGGGUGGCGAGUGGCGGACGGGUGAGGAAUACAUCGGAAUCUACUUUUUCGUGGGGGAUAACGUAGGGAAACUUACGCUAAUACCGCAUACGACCUACGGGUGAAAGCAGGGGAUCUUCGGACCUUGCGCGAUUGAAUGAGCCGAUGUCGGAUUAGCUAGUUGGCGGGGUAAAGGCCCACCAAGGCGACGAUCCGUAGCUCGUCUGAGAGGAUGAUCAGCCACCCUGGAACUGAGACACGGUCCAGACUCCUAAGGGAGGCAGCAGUGGGGAAUAUUGGACAAUGGGCGCAAGCCUGAUCCGGCCAUACCGCGUGGGUGAAGACGGCCUUCGGGUUGUAAAGCCCUUUUGUUGGGAAAGAAAAGCAGCAGGUUAAUACCCCGCUGUUCUGACGGUACCCAAAGAAUAAGCACCGGCUAACUUCGUG